CGCCCAGUGGCCUAAUGGAAAAGCUAUCAGCUUCUGAAGCUGGAGAUUGUGGGUCCAAGUCCCAUCUGGAUUA
rnacentral:tRNA from 1 species